rnacentral:rRNA from 1 species
CCUACGGGCGGCUGCAGUGGGGAAUAUUGGACAAUGGGCGAAAGCCUGAUCCAGCCAUGCCGCGUGUGUGAAGAAGGCCUUCGGGUUGUAAAGCACUUUCAGUGGGGAAGAAAGCCUUGGGGCUAAUACCCUCGAGGAAGGACAUCACCCACAGAAGAAGCACCGGCUAACUCCGUGCCAGCAGCCGCGGUGAAUACGGAGGGUGCGAGCGUUAAUCGGAAUUACUGGGCGUAAAGCGCGCGUAGGCGGUCUGAUAAGCCGGUUGUGAAAGCCCCGGGCUCAACCUGGGAACGGCAUCCGGAACUGUCAGGCUAGAGUGCAGGAGAGGAAGGUAGAAUUCCCGGUGUAGCGGUGAAAUGCGUAGAGAUCGGGAGGAAUACCAGUGGCGAAGGCGGCCUUCUGGACUGACACUGACGCUGAGGUGCGAAAGCGUGGGUAGCAAACAGGAUUAGAUACCCCGGUAGUC